rnacentral:rRNA from 1 species
AACGCACCUUGCGCCCUUUGGUAUUCCGAAGGGCAUGCCUGUUUGAGUGUCAUUAAAUUAUCAACCUCGCGUGCUUUUACUAGUGUCGCUUGGCUUGGAUGUGAGGGUUUUGCUGGCUUCCUUCAGUGGAUUGGUCUGCUCCCUUUAAAUGCAUUAGCUUGGACUUGUCCCGGCGACGUCAUAGCGUGAUAACUAUCUACGCUUUGAACCGUCUGUUGGUACCUAGUCGGUCUGGCUUCCAAUCGUCUUCGGACAAUACACCAUUCAUUUUGACCUCAAAUCAGGUAGGACUACCCGCUGAACUUAA